rnacentral:tRNA from 1 species
UUGAUAGAAGCCAAAGGCAUAUCACUGUUAAUGAUAUAAUUGAAUACUUACUUCCUAUCAAU